rnacentral:rRNA from 1 species
AGUGAACGCUGGCGGUAGGCCUAACACAUGCAAGUCGAACGGCAGCACAGGAGAGCUUGCUCUCUGGGUGGCGAGUGGCGGACGGGUGAGGAAUACAUCGGAAUCUGCCCAGUCGUGGGGGAUAACGUGGGGAAACUUACGCUAAUACCGCAUACGACCUUCGGGUGAAAGAGGGGGAUCGCAAGACCUCUCGCGAUUGGAUGAGCCGAUGUCGGAUUAGCUAGUUGGCGGGGUAAUGGCCCACCAAGGCGACGAUCCGUAGCUGGUCUGAGAGGAUGAUCAGCCACACUGGAACUGAGACACGGUCCAGACUCCUACGGGAGGCAGCAGUGGGGAAUAUUGGACAAUGGGCGCAAGCCUGAUCCAGCCAUACCGCGUGGGUGAAGAAGGCCUUCGGGUUGUAAAGCCCUUUUGUUGAGAAAGAAAUCUUUCAGGCUAAUACCCUGGGAGGAUGACGGUACCCAAAGAAUAAGCACCGGCUAACUUCGUG